UUCAUAGAAAAAUUAAAACAAAGUUUAUCAAACAAGUCCCCGGACUACAGACGAUAAACAAAUUUGUCUAAGUUUGGUUAUAUCCAAUUCACAACUUUACAUAAGUCACAUCCCUUAAGGCUGCAUUCCGGUUACACGUUUUUCAUAUGUUGUACGUACACGCACGUAAAAGUUGAAUUCGCUUUACAUCCUACUUAUGAAAUAACUAAAUUUAUAAAAGGACAGCAUUCAGUUUUGUGUAUGAUUUAAUGUGUACUUGUUAAGGUUAUUUGCACUUAUAUGAAAUUUUAAGCGAAUUCAACUUUUACGUGCAUGUACGCACCUAUGAAAAAUGCGUAACUGGAAUGCAGCCUUAACUAUCAUUGUUCUAGUGUACUGAAGCAUAGAGAUAAGAGUAGAACAAAGAUAACUAAGCUUUAGAAUUAUCUAGCUACAUGAAUGAAUGAAUGACUUUUAUAGUGUAUAGGGCUUAUCAAAUGCUUAGUUACCUCUGUUCUAUUCUAUGUGUACAUACUGCAAGAACACUAACUAGGCAUGAAUAUUUAAAGUUAUGAAUUGCAUAGCAACAAUGUAACUAACUUUGCCAAAUUUAUCUAUUAUACAAAUUAAUAUGUUCUGUGUGUUUGAAUUGUACAAUACCUAUUGUGAGAUAACAGCUGUCCUGAGAGCUUUUAAAAUAUCAUUUGCCAGCAAGGCAACAAGCUCUAUUAAACCCUUGUCCCAUUAAGCAGAUUCUAUUUACAUCCAAAUAAACAGCAACUUGCGAAUAUUAUUGUUGCAAUUUACGAAGUUCCAACUUUGUGAAAAUUGUGAACUUUUGUCGUCUAUUUCAGGCUUCCAGCCUUCCAAGUUUACUCAUAUAAGAUGACUUUCGGUUUAUAAAGUCUGGCUGAUGGGAAAACUAUUAAGUUUCAUCGAAAAAAUGAAGAAAAUAUGCACAAAAUCGAUGAAAUUAUUUCCAAAUACGCUCCCAAGUAAGCGGCCAUCUUGAAUCCAGCGACUGAAAGUAAUGACGUAAUGUUUGACAAAAAAAAUGACGUAGGUCAUUUUGUGACCAACAAUCCGCGAUGAAGCCGAAAC
rnacentral:lncRNA from 1 species